AAUAAACCAAUUUUUCAUUUUUUACCUACAAUUUUUAACUCUUCGUUUUAUUCAAAUUUUUUUUACGAUUGAUAUUUUUGUUUUUAUUAAAUGAUAAAUCAUGAAUAGUAUUUUACGUGUAACUAUUUUUUUAAUUUCCUGAAAUUUUUUUAAAUAAAACCGCAACGGAUGGUCAAACGUUGGACACGAAAACC
rnacentral:pre_miRNA from 1 species